GGAGAGGUGGCCGAGUGGCUGAAGGCGACGGUCUCGAAAACCGUUAUCCCGAAUUCUCGGGAUCGUGGGUUCGAAUCCCACCCUCUCCG
rnacentral:tRNA from 1 species